GACAGAGGUGCCAAGCGUUAGGCGGAAUCACUGGGCUUAAAGCGUGUGUAGGCGGAAUUGUAAGUACCUUGUGAAAUCCCACGGCUCAACCGUGGAACUGCUGGGCAUACUGCGGGUCUUGGGCCAACUAGGGGCAGCCGGAACAAGCGGUGGAGCGGUGAAAUGCGUAGAUAUCGCUUGGAACGCCGAAGGUGAAAACAGGCUGCUGGGGUUGCGCCGACGCUGAGACACGAAAGCCAGGGGAGCAAACGGG
rnacentral:rRNA from 1 species